rnacentral:rRNA from 1 species
UACAGAGGGGGCAAGCGUUGUUCGGAAUUACUGGGCGUAAAGGGCGCGUAGGCGGCUUUAUAAGUCGGGGGUGAAAGCCUGUGGCUCAACCACAGAAUUGCCUUCGAUACUGUAGAGCUUGAGACCGGAAGAGGUAAGUGGAACUGCGAGUGUAGAGGUGAAAUUCGUAGAUAUUCGCAAGAACACCAGUGGCGAAGGCGGCUUACUGGUCCGGUUCUGACGCUGAGGCGCGAAAGCGUGGGGAGCAAACAGG